CUUCUGCUGCAACAAACCCAUCAGACCAGGCUGAGACAGAGAGGGGGGCUGAGCAGAAAGCAAGAAGGAGCUUCCUUUGCUUUUCAAUGACCAAACUCAGGAUCAACUUCAAGCGUUCCAAGAGAGGAAACAAAAAGGACUGCCAUUCAGUCCAGGAACAGACUGAGAUUCCCUCUACUGAUGGACAUUGCAUAGCUCCAGUUGGAGAGGUUUCUCCCUCCAUAUCUCAGCCUAUCAAAAAACGAUCCUUGAUUGUCAGGGUCUUUUCAGCAAUGAUGAAG